CCUACGGGUGGCUGCAGUGGGGAAUAUUGCGCAAUGGGCGAAAGCCUGACGCAGCGACGCCGCGUGGGUGAUGAAGGCCUUCGGGUUGUAAAGCCCUGUCGGGUGGAACGAACGAUCUGGCGGCGAAUAACCGCCGGGUGUGACGGUACCACCGAAGGAAGCCCCGGCUAACUACGUGCCAGCAGCCGCGGUAAGACGUAGGGGGCGAGCGUUGUUCGGAUUUACGGGGCGUAAUGGGUGCGUAGGUUGCGAAAGCCCUCGGCUGAACCGGGGGCCCGCAUCCGAGACGGUCUGGCUCGAGUCUAGGAGAGGAAAGCGGAAUUCCCAGUGUAGCGGUGAAAUGCGUAGAUAUUGGGAGGAACACCGGUGGCGAAGGCGGCUUUCCGGACUAGUACUGACGCUGAGGCGCGAAAGCUAGGGGAGCGAACGGGAUUAGAUACCCUUGUAGUC
rnacentral:rRNA from 1 species